UAUUUAUCUUUCUAUUCUGGCUUUCAAAAUGGAAAAAUUAAACAGCUGAACUGAAUGGAAAUACUAGGCAAUUCCUUUGUUAGUCAUGGAAAAGCACCUUGAUUGGGUAAUCACAAAUUAAGAAGCUGAUGAAUUGAGUUGUGAGAAUUUAACUAUGGUAA